GCUUGUUGGUGAGGUAGUGGCUCACCAAGGCGACGACGGGUAGCCGGCCUGAGAGGGCGACCGGCCACACUGGGACUGAGACACGGCCCAGACUCCUACGGGAGGCAGCAGUGGGGAAUAUUGCACAAUGGGCGAAAGCCUGAUGCAGCGACGCCGCGUGAGGGAUGACGGCCUUCGGGUUGUAAACCUCUUUCAGCAGGGAAGAAGCGAAAGUGACGGUACCUGCAGAAGAAGCGCCGGCUAACUACGUGCCAGCAGCCGCGGUAAUACGUAGGGCGCAAGCGUUGUCCGGAAUUAUUGGGCGUAAAGAGCUCGUAGGCGGCUUGUCACGUCGAUUGUGAAAGCCCGAGGCUUAACCUCGGGUCUGCAGUCGAUACGGGCUAGCUAGAGUGUGGUAGGGGAGAUCGGAAUUCCUGGUGUAGCGGUGAAAUGCGCAGAUAUCAGGAGGAACACCGGUGGCGAAGGCGGAUCUCUGGGCCAUUACUGACGCUGAGGAGCGAAAGCGUGGGGAGCGAACAGGAUUAGAUACCCUGGUAGUCCACGCCGUAAACGGUGGGAACUAGGUGU
rnacentral:rRNA from 1 species